UUCUUCCUCUCACUCUUUCUAUCUUCUCUCAUUUCUUUCUCUCUACUUCUUUAUCUACAUGUCUCUUAUUCUUCUCACUUUCUUAAAUUUAUUACAAGGGAUUUUCUCUUGAGUUGGUAAGUAAUUGUUCAUCUCUUUUAUAUAAGUGAGGUAUGUAAAUGUUCUUGGUUAAAAAAAAUGAAUAUUUGUUGCAAGUGUAUUAUGUUUACUGAUUUUUGGACAAGGAUUUGUGUGGUUUUACACACAACUGUUCAUAUUCUCCAUCUAAAUGAAUAUUAUGUUGAUUGAUUUUCGAACAGGAACUUAUCUGGUUUUGAAGAAAACUAUGCAUCUUCUUCAUCUAACUGAAGAUUGACAUCUAUCUUGCAAACAAAAAUAAAAAAUCAUGGAUGAAACUGAAAUCAAGAAGAAACAUGUUAUCAAGCUCUCUUAAAUCAGGUGAUGUGAUGCAUUAUCUACUUUUUUGGAUAAACUUACACGCGCACAGUAUACCUAAUGCAGUACAAAAUAAUAGUGGCGUGGGAAUAAUGGACAACUUAUUGAACUAUUCAAAAGUUUUAUUGCUCUUUAUGUUGUAUUCUAAUUCUAAUGCAGUGUUACUAUUUUCCUGUUAUAAAAUAUUAAGAAAUUUU